rnacentral:rRNA from 1 species
GCUCGUAGGCGGUUUGUCGCGUCUGCUGUGAAAACUGGGGGCUNNNNNNNNAGCCUGCAGUGGGUACGGGCAGACUAGAGUGCGGUAGGGGAGAUUGGAAUUCCUGGUGUAGCGGUGGAAUGCGCAGAUNUCANGAGGAACACCGAUGGCGAAGGCAGAUCUCUGGGCCGUAACUGACGCUGAGGAGCGAAAGCAUGGGGAGCGAACNGGAUUANAUACCCUGGUAGUCCAUGCCGUAAACGUUGGGAACUAGAUGUAGGGGCCAUUCCACGGUUUCUGUGUCGCAGCUAACGCAUUAAGUUCCCCGCCUGGGGAGUACGGCCGCAAGGCUAAAACUCAAAGGAAUUGACGGGGGCCCGCACAAGCGGCGGAGCAUGCGGAUUAAUUCGAUGCAACGCGAAGAACCUUACCAAGACUUGACAUAUACGAGAACGGGCUAGAAAUAGUUCACUCUUUGGACACUCGUAAACAGGUGGUGCAUGGUUGUCGUCAGCUCGUGUCGUGAGAUGUUGGGUUAAGUCCCGCAACGAGCGCAACCCUCGUUCUUUGUUGCCAGCACGUAAUGGUGGGAACUCANAGGANACUGCCGGGGUCAACUCGGAGGAAGGUGGGGAUGACGUCAAAUCAUCAUGCCCCUUAUGUCUUGGGCUUCACGCAUGCUACNAUGGCCGAUACAAAGGGCUGCAAUACCGCGAGGUGGAGCGAAUCCCAAAAAGUCGGUCUCAGUUCGGAUUGAGGUCUGCAACUCGACCUCAUGAAGUCNGAGUCGCU